GCCUGAGAGGAAGGGCGGGUUGCUGUAGGGCUCCCUAACCGGGCUGCCGUGUCAGACUUCUGGCCUACAGACUUGCGUCGUUUUAAGCCACUAAAUUUGUGAUAAUUUGUUACAGUAGCAAUAGGAAAUUAAUACAGAUGGGGUUUCGCCAUGUUGCCCAGGACGGUUUUGAACUCCUGGGGCCAAGUGAUCUGCAUUCCUCUGCCUACCAAAGUGCUGGGAUUACAGAUGCGAGCCACCCCUCCUGGCCCACAAGUCUUUCAGUGUAGAAGAGGGAAGCAGAAGAGGUCAAAGUGGUGCCAUGUGAAGGCUCAACCCACCCUUGCUGGAGGAAGGGAGCCAGAGCCAAGCUGGAAGAGGCAAGGAAAUACACCAUUGUGAUUACAUUAGGCCCAUCCAGAUAAUCCAGGAUCAUCUCUUUUACAGUCAUCUGAUUAGCAAUUUAAUUCUCUUUUGUCAUGUUAGGUAACACAUUCACGUGUUUCAGAGUGGUAGGCCAUUAUUCUGCCUACUAUACCACCCAACACAAAUCUACAUUAAGACUGUAUCUGAGUGUUGCACAGGAAUCUAUGUCAACAAGCUUCCAGGGUGAUCCUGUGUAUCCUAUAUGAUGCAGCCCAGCAUCUGAGUACCAGAGACUAGCAUCUGGCUGUUAGGUUAACAGAUCAGCUCAUGCACCAACGGGUAGUCAUGCUGGGACCAAAUGAUGAAGAUAGGUACAACUAGUCCCAGUGAGAGCUGGGGAACUGGGCUGGGAUAUAGAGGAUGUUAAGAAUGGAGUGUCCUCCCAACCCCAGAAUUUUUUUUUCUUUUUUUGUGGUAAGGAGGGAGAAGGCUGCUUGGCAAGGAUGUUGUAAACUCUGAGAAAGCAGGAAUUUCAAAAUAAGAGUCAAGGGUGGUAUUCAGGGGAAAAUCAC